UUUAAAGCAGUUUUACUCUCAUUUAUUUAGUCCUCACCAUACAGACAGCUGACAGUGAGGAAUUCACACUGAUGUGGGAGGUGUCACUGAGGAGAUGAAAUUUGAGUUGCUCCUUAAAGAAUGAGUAAGAUUUGCUAGGUGAAGAUUGGUGAAAUGGCUUUGCAGACAGAAUAGCGACAGCGAAACAACAGGCGAAGUGUGAGAUGUGUCAUGGGAACACUAGUUACUCAGAUGUGUGAGUAUGUGUGUGUGUGGGUAGGUUUGUGUCAUGGGGUCCAUAUGAGGGGGUGUGGAAGGAGCUAAGUCAGUGCAAACUUUUAGCUCUGCAAGUUACAAAAUGUAAGAGGCUAAAAAAUGACUUGAAAUCUGAAAAUCGCAAUUCCUAAAGUAAAGGUAGAUCGUUUCUGUCAUUUAAAAUGUGUGGCAGGAAGAAAAGCAGCAUUUAUUGAGCUCCUGCUAUAUGACUUUAUAUCUAUUGUUGCAUUUAACCCUUAGAUCAGCUCUUUAAGAGGCUGAUUACUCUCAAUUUACAUGUGAGGAAAUGCAAGCUACAGAAAUUACCCUAGAAAGAUGAAGCCCAGCAGCAGGAUUCAAUCCAGGUUCAUCCAACUCCCCAGAUGGUAUUCUUUCCAUCACACCAUGCGGUCUCUCUGAAAUACCUAAGUGAUUCUCCUAUUACAACAAACAGUGGGACACCUCCCCACACAGACCGCUCUCACCACCACCACCAAAUAGCUCAGCAUAUUUGGAGAUAAAAACAAAGGAAGAGAAAUGAAAUACGCAUGUGAAAACUUUAUAGAUUAUUCUGCCCUAUUCGGCAGCCAUUAUGGGAUUGUUACUUGAUAUGAAUGUAGAGAUUUGCUACUUUGAAAGCCUUAAAGUUUCGCUAUUGUGGCCCACAGCUCUCUGGAUAUGGCAGUAUUUCUUGAACUAGCAAAAAAAGCUUAUUUUCUUCAGUAUGUGAAUCCACAUAAAGGUAUUUAUCCUAAACAGCUACUUCCUCCUUUACCAUGGACUGAUUUGGGAUUCAGCUUUGUUGCGAUGCCACAGGUGUUUUAGAUUUUGAUGGCCGCUUCCAAGUGUGGGUCUGAUGAGCUCUCCGCAUGCGCUGCCUGCCUGGGUGAGCGCUGGCCAGGCUGAGUAGGCUCAUUCAUCCAGGAGAUGGCCCUGCAGCUGAAAAGAGGAGGAGAUGACUACUUUCUGGUCCAGCUGAGCCCUGCAUGUACUUCUCACAUGGUAUCUACCCACGCAGGAAGGUGUUAGAAGAGGUCAUCGAGAGGACGUGAGUGCUGGUUGACUCGAGAACUGGACCAGGGCAUUUGGAGGCUCUUCACCUUCUCCCCUGUCCUUGGAAUGAUUGUGGGAGCUGCCUAAUUGGAAAUCUGUAAGAAGGGUCAACAGGCUGGAAAUUCAGCUAAGAGUUGAUGGUGUGGUAUUGAUCUGAAAUCUGCAGGGCAGGCCAUCAGAAAUUGUGACAAGUUAUGCAUUUCAAAUAUCUGUGAUAAGACUGAGGAUUGACUCCACUUAAUUUGGAUCCUGAGUGUUACAAGAGGUGGACAGUAGCGACGCUUUGAGUUGACACUCAUCUCCCUGGCACUAACUCUACUUAGACACAUGGAUGGCUUCUUACUGAAAAUGUCUGUCAGCUCUUUGCCUGAGUAAUUCCGCUGGCUGUAAGAAAGUGCUUGACUUGUGUGUGGAACAGACUGAAAAUGAUUGAAAGUUAACAUCCCAGGAGCGGUCUUCAACCAGUUAUGGAUGGGCGUUGGCAGAGAAACUCCAUAGUUUCUUCACCCCUCAGGUAGGACAACUCCGAGAAGUGUUCCACGUAGUCUCCCAGUGGACCCUAAAAGAGGGAGCCCCAAUUCCUCACACUCGUAAACGGUUUAUUAAUGUAGACUAUGUUGGCUUUGUUCCCUUCCCUGUCUUACUUCCUCACUCCCUAUCCCUGCUUCUUGGAAUCAUUUCCCUAGUAAAUUAAUUUCAUGCAAAUUUUUGUCUCAAGGAAUACAACCUAAGACAAGUGGUAAAACAGGUCAGAGUUCUGACCUUCUACCACUUAUAGUCUAGUAGAGGAGAAGGGCAUGAAUCAAAUAAUUUCGUAGUAAUUGUAAAUUUGCAAUGUGACACUACUGAAAAGAAGACACAUUGAGGCAAUCUGAUUGUGUGUGUGUGUAUUGGGGUUAGGAAACAUUUUUCCCAAGGAAGGGAUGUUUGAGCUGAAAAGUGAAAAAUGAAAAGAGGUGGAGAUAGAGUUCUGUAUGAAAGAAUAACAUAUGCAAAGGGCCUGUGGCAGGAAGAGCAUGGUAUGUAGAGAGACUAAAGAAAGGCAGUGUGGCUGAAGCAGAGGAUGAUGGGGAGCUCAGUGGAAAAUGAGACCAGGAAGGUAGGUAGAAGCCAGAUGGUGUAGGGCUUUCUAGUGUCUUAUUUAUGUGAAGAGCUAUGAGGAGCCAUUGGGAGGGUAUAAUCAGUGGGAUCAUAUCAUCAGAUUUACAUUUCACAAAGAUCAUUUUGUCUGAUGUAUACAAAAGACAUAGGGAGUCAGUGGAAGGAUAUUUGGGUUUAGUCGAUACAGGAAUCUAGGUGAAAGGCUUUUUCUACUAUCAUUACGAGGAAUUGAUUGGAUCCCAGGGUUCAAACCAUGGCUCUGUAAUUUACUCAGUGAAUGAUCUUGGGCCAGCUACUUAACCUUCCAUGCUGAAAUUUCCUCAUACGUAAAAUAACUGUAACUAGAUGUUAUAAUCAUGAUUAGGAUACUGCCUGACACGUCGUAAACACAAUCCAAGUGUUGGGUACAAUUAACAUCAUUAUUAUUAUCUUCCAACAUGUAAUAGGUAACUGGUGAAUUUUUAAGCUGGGUUACUCUCCAGGGGCUUUCGUCUUGUUUGGUAUAUACAGUUGCUGCUUUAACAGCUAGUAUAGAGGAGGGCAGGGUGGCAGCAGGUCUGCCAUGAAAUGCAUGCCUUAGUGCUUAGCAGCUGAAUAACCUGGAGCCAGUCGCUUCCCUCCUGUUUCCUCCUCUCUGUUACGGGGAGGGGUCUAGGAUUAGUACCUAACUUCACUGCUUCACUGGGUUAUUGUAGGAAGAAACGGACUGCUCUCCAUCAAACGCAGGUCGAUCCAUGGCACAGUAUGCUUGCUAUCACUUGUAACUAUUCUGAUAAGCACUGAUAAUUGUCUCUUCCAGUCAUCAUUCUCAUCAGUUUAUUCCUCCUCCAUCGUGAUCUUGUUAUAACAAUUAAAUAAGGAGCUAAGAUAACACUGUUUUACCUUUGGAAAAGUCCUUAGAGUAGAAAACCCUGCAAAAGUGUAGCUAUUUUUACUACUUUGCUGCAAAUUUUACAUUUUAUACUCCUUUAAUGUCUUUAGAUUGUGAGCAUCACAUUGCCACUGCUAUAUUAUUAUUGCAGUAAAGUCCUCAUGAAAAUGACUCUUCCUCUGUAUUUCCGUGAGUAAAAUCAUCACUCUGAAGUGAAUGGUGUUGUCAAUUCCUAAGAACCUCCCAGAUAUUCUAUGCUUUUCUCUUUGGCUUCAGUGAUUUCAUUGUAAUUGUUAGCAAAAUACCACAUAUUUUGCUCGUAAGCAUGAAAACUUGAGUUCUUAUACAAUUAUCUUUCAAGGCCAGAUCCUAAUGUUUCAUGAGGUAGAAGAGAAACAUAUUUUUACUUGCAGCCUGUGUAUAAAAAAAAGAAUUAUGAGUACUCCUAUAAAAUUUUUAUUGAAGCCCAUUAAAUUUUUUGCAAGCAUUGUCUAUUUAUUGAGAGUGGCCUUUUUUUCUUUAAACUCUGGCAUGAUAUUGAGAUAUUGAGAAACAAUCUCCUCUCUUGGAGAGAAUUAGGUCAGCUCUUACUGUUUUAUGCUUUUAGUGCAUUUCUCUGUGUAUGUGCUUAUACUUUCUACAUAGGCUUUUUAAGUUUCUUUGACUAAUGACUGAAUUAAAAUUUCUCACAUUUAGAUAUGUGAAAUAUGAAAUUGAAGAUUGCUUCCUGUUUGUCUUUGCUUUACUAAACCACUGGGCAUAAUAUACAGUAGUUAUAAGAUUAUAAAAUUUAAUCUGACUAAUAAUAUGCAUUAUUAAUAUAUUUUAACAUAUUUUUAUGUUACAAAAAUAUUCCUGAAGUAUUUUGAUUAAGAAAUUUUCUUAUUAUUUUUAACUUAACUUUCCAGCUUCAAAAGGAGAUUUCUAAAAUCAGUUGAUUCUGCUUUUGAUGUUUUGAUAGUUUCUGCAGUCUCUUUUGGUCGUAUUAUCUAUCUAUGACACUUUAAUGAAAAUACUUUGAAAAUAGCAGAGUUGAUUUCUUUUAUAGUAACAGAUGUGCAUAAUGCUUACUUUAAUGUUCUUGCCUCGUAUCUGACAUGUUGCUCCAAAUCUUCAAUGGCUUGAUUAUUGUAAAACAUAUAGUAACAACUCUUGGAAACACCUAAAAACUUCUUGGGCAUUACAUUUUAUCUUGAGGGGGCAGGGGCCAUGGCCAUCAGUCUUGCUGUGGGUCCUGUCACAGAUUCUACCCUGAGGCACUGACAAGAGCUGAAACAGUCCUUUCUACUGUGAAGUUUCUUUGGUCUGUCCAUUCAACAGACAUGGCUGAAUAUUAAAAGAAAAAUCUAUGGGACCUUUAAAUAACCUUUAAGCUUCAAUAUGUGUAAUUCAUUGGGUGUUCAUUUCAGUAUCAAUUUCUGUGAAAAGACAUUUCAAAGAUGAAACAUGUAAAAUUCCGUUUCAGCUCAACUUUAACAAAUGAACAUUUGCAUUCAGUUUUGAUGAUAGAGAACACUAACUUGAAUCCCAGUCAAGAAAAUAUUAUCCCUUCCCAAAUAAUUACUUUAUUUUCAUUAGUAUACCUGUAUUAUAAGAAAAUUAUGUUCAAUUAUUAUGUUUUGAAUUCCGUAAGUAAAAAUUUUGGGAAAAUUUGUCUUCUCUCUUGCUAUAAAAGUGCCUACAUAAUGUCCUUGAUUUCGC
ensembl:lncRNA